GGAAGGAUCAUUCACGCUAGAUCCACCAAACUGUUGAAUAUGUUUUAUUAAGACUUUAUGAAGUCUCUGCGGUGAAUGUUUCGGUUCCCAUAACGAUGAAGGACGUAGCAUUAUGCGAUAAUCAGUGCGAAUUGCAGAAGAAUGUGAACCGAUCAGGUAUCUUAACGCAUGCGGCACAUGAGACGCAAGUCUCACUGUGCGUUCGGCUCAGUGCAGUAAUAAGUGUUUUUGUGUCGUCUCAGACAGGCGUCACAUAUUUGUUGCCUCAAUGCUUGGCAGACUGAAAAUCGCAAGUAUGAGUGUUUAUACAUUGGACUGGAGCUCGGGCGCGGUUACCCGCUGAACUUAAGCAUAUUAGUAGGCGGAGCAAAAGUAACUAACAAGGAUUCCUUUAGUAGUUGCGAACGAACAGGGAAGAACUCGAAUUGAAAAUCGCUUGGGGAUUAACUUCAAGUGAAUUGUAGUGUUGAAGGGUGAUUCCGGCGUCUGGCUCAAGCAAAAGUCUCGUGGAAAAGAGCACGCAACAGGGUGAGAGUCCCGUGGUUGCUUGUUGCAUGACGCAUUCGGAACGCUUUAUCGAGAGUCGCGUUUCUCGGGAAUGAAGCGCUAAUUGAAUGGUAAAUUGCAUUGGAGGUAUAAACAAUUAUGGGAGACCGAUAGCGAACAAGUACCGCGAGGGAAAGAUGAAAAGAACUUUGGAAAGAGAGUUAAAACUCCCUGAAGCUGCAGAGAAGGAAGCGGUGUUAACUGUCGAAUUUUCUAGUAUGGUUCCGAGCGACAUGUGUUUGAUGUGCGGAUCUCCUGCAUUUCCGUAUUUCAUAACCUGUGUUGUCUUGUAGUUCCUGCUGGAGUUGCACGCUGCGUGUGUUCCUCUUCCAGGCCAAAUUGAUUUAUCCAGUUCUGCUGGUCAACAUUUUUGGUGACUGGAUAGAGAAACUCGCGAGGUAUUCGGCAUUUAUUUCCUUUUGGAAAGAGUGUCACGGCAAUUGUGAGAACGGUUUACACCGACCCGUCUUGAAACACGGAUCAAGGAGUCCAACAUGGUCACGAGUUGCAAGGAGAAAAACCUUGGAGCGCAAUGAAAAUGAAUUUUACAAUAACAACCGACUACACUUAGAGGUUCGAGGGAGAGUGGUCAUGUUGGGACCCGAAAGAUGGUGAACUAUGCCUGGACAGGGUGAAGCCAGGGGAAACCCUGGUGGAAGCUCGCAGCGAUACUGACGUGCAAAUCGUUCGUCUAAUCUGGGUAUAGGGGCGAAAGACUAAUCGAACCAUCUAGUAGCUGGUUCCCUC
rnacentral:misc_RNA from 1 species